UACCAGCACCCCGAGUGGUCGGGACGUUUAUUGGGCCUAAAGCAUCCGUAGCCGGUUCUGCAAGUCUUCCGUUAAAUCCAACUGCUUAACAGAUGGGCUGCGGAGGAUACUAUAAGACUAGGAGGCAGGAGAGGCAAGCGGUACUCAGUGGGUAGGGGUAAAAUCCGUUGAUCCAUUGAAGACCACCAGUGGCGAAGGCGGCUUGCCAGAAUGCGCUCGACGGUGAGGGAUGAAAGCUGGGGGAGCAAACCGG
rnacentral:rRNA from 1 species